GUACGGUCGCAAGGCUAAAACCCAAAGGAAUUGACGGGGGCCCGCACAAGCAGCGGAGCGUGUGGUUUAAUUCGAUGCAACGCGAAGAGCCUUACCUGGGCUUGACAUGUACGUAGUAGUGAAGGGAAACCGGAACGAGCCUUCGGGCAGCGUAGACAGGUGCUGCAUGGCUGUCGUCAGCUCGUGUCGUGAGAUGUUGGGUUAAGUCCCGCAACGAGCGCAACCCGUGUUGCUAGUUACAAGUGUCUAGCGAGACUGCCGGUAACAAGCCGGAGGAAGGUGCGGAUGAUGUCAAGUCAGCAUGGCCUAUAUGUCCAGGGCUACACACACGCUACAAUGGCUGGUACAAAGAGAAGCGAAAGGGAGACCUGAAGCGAAUCUCAUCAAAGCCAGUCAUAGUUCGGAUUGCAGGCUGCAACUCGCCUGCAUGAAGUCGGAGUUGCUAGUAACCGCAGGUCAGCAAUACUGCGGUGAAUACGUUCCCGGGCCUUGUACACAC
rnacentral:rRNA from 1 species